GUGUUGUACAAAAAGAAAGAAGGUUAGCACUCCCCUUGACAAGGAUAAAAGAGGCCCUCAGGCCUGACAACACGCAUAAGGUUAAGGCACUACCACCUACUUCGUGGCACUCAACCAUCCUUUUUA